CCGGAUGAUCCUCAGUGGUCUGGGGUGCAGGCUUCAAACCUGUAGCUGUCUAGCGACAGAGUGGUU
rnacentral:tRNA from 6 species